ACAGGAGAAAUUAUGAUUUUAAUAAUGACAAUUAAUGUCCGCAUGCGAUAGUAUAAGCAUUAACUUUGAAGGAGUUGCAUAAUUAUUCCUAUAUAUUCAUCAAUGUGAAGAUAGGAAAUUGGAAUGGGAAUCGAGUAGGAUAAAUGUAUGGUAAUCACAGUCACGUUGCCUUUGCUCAUAUGAAAAAGUAAACUGGUUGUUAUUGAAAUAAGUGAUAUAGUAACAUAGUAUAUAAUUACAUAGUAGUGAUAGAAUAUGAGUAUUAAAGUAAAUAAG
rnacentral:lncRNA from 1 species